UUUUUGUAUUCCUCGAAGUACUGCAUUUGUUAAACUACACACACGCGCGCGCACACACACACGCGCGCGCACACACACACAGAUACACACACAUUCUCAGGAGAGAUUCCAUGAUGUGAGGCAGUCAGCGAGCACAAGCUGAUUUGGAAAGGAAAAAGUUCUGACGUUUCUGGGCCAGCUCGUGCCACCUGCCUUGUGAUCAGAGGACGAGAAUGGCAGAGCGCGGCUGUGCUUGUGGAUAAAUUCCAGGUAAAUGUGCCGCUGGGCACAGUGCGAAGCUGGCUACGUUUUGUGUGUGGCCGAGGCCAGCUAGCCACUCUCUCCGGGUAGUGCCCAGCUACUGAGUUCCUGACGGAGCCUUUAAAAAUGCAUAUUAAAGCGAUG
rnacentral:lncRNA from 1 species